ACGCUCGGCACCUACGGGAGCAGCAGUGAGGAAUAUUGGUCAAUGGGCGCUAGCCUGAACCAGCCAAGUAGCGUGAAGGAUGAAGGCUCUAUGGGUCGUAAACUUCUUUUAUAUAAGAAUAAAGUGCAGUAUGUAUACUGUUUUGUAUGUAUUAUAUGAAUAAGGAUCGGCUAACUCCGUGCCAGAGCCGCGGUAAGUACUUGAGGCGGGCGUGGCGAAGGACG
rnacentral:rRNA from 1 species